rnacentral:rRNA from 1 species
GACGAACGCUGGCGGCGUGCCUAAUACAUGCAAGUCGAGCGGACGGAUGGGAGCUGGCUGCCAUUACGUCAGCGGCGGGCGGGUGAGUAACACGUGGGCAACCUGCCUGUAAGAUUGGGAGAACUCAGGGAGACCGGGGCUAGUAACGGAUAACUCUGUCCCUCACGUGAGGGAAAGCGGAAAGAUGGCAUCUCGCUAUCACUUACAGAUGUGUCCGCGUCGCAUGAGCUAGUUGGUGAGGUAACGGCUCACCAAGGCGACGAUGCGUAGCGGAUCUGAGAGGAUGAUCGGCCACACUGGGACUGAGACACGGCCCAGACUCCUACGGGAGGCAGCAGUAGGGAAUCUUGCGCAAUGGGCGCAAGCCUGACGGAGCAACGCCGCGUGAGUGAUGAAGGUCUUCGGAUCGUAAAGCUCUGUUGUCGGGGAAGAACAAGUACCGGAGUAACUGCCGGUGCCUUGACGGUACCUGAAGAGAAAGCACCGGCUAACUACGUG